rnacentral:rRNA from 1 species
AUUGAACGCUGGCGGAAUGCUUUACACAUGCAAGUCGAACGGCAGCACGGACUUCGGUCUGGUGGCGAGUGGCGAACGGGUGAGGAAUGUAUCGGAACGUGCCCAGUCGUGGGGGAUAACGUAGUGAAAAUUACGCUAAUACCGCAUACGAUCUAUGGAUGAAAGCGGGGGAUCGCAAGACAUCGCGCGAUUGGAGCGGCCGAUAUCAGAUUAGGUAGUGAGUGGGGUAAAGGCCCACCAAGCCAACUAUCUGGAGCUGGUCUGAGAGGACGACCAGCCACACUGAAACUGAGACACGGUCCAGACUCCUACGGGAGGCAGCAGUGGGGAAUUUUGGACAAUGGGCGAAAGCCUGAUCCAGCCAUUCCGCGUGCAGGAUGAAGGCCCUCGGGUUGUAAACUGCUUUUGUACAGAACGAAAAGGUUUCUACUAAUACUAGGAGCUCAUGACGGUACUGUAAGAAUAAGCACCGGCUAACUACGUGCCAGCCGCCGCGGUAA